GCCAGAGUGGUGUAGUGGUUUGAGUGUUGACUAUGACUCUAGAGAUCAGGGUUCAAUUGUCUGCUCAGCCA